CCUAGCUCUGUCCCAUGGCAGGAUAUGGACGGGGAGCGGCAAACUGUCCUCCUCCUCUCUCCCGGGUAGGACAGCAGGUUCCCAGACCUGGGAAAACCUCCAGGAGGAGCACUUGGCACUUGCAGAGGCUGGAUUUUCUGCGUGGCAGGAUGAGAGCUCCACAGAGACGGUGUGGACCCGGAAGCCUGGACCACUCAGAGCCCCGAGAGGCUGAGUCACACCCACAUGUGUGAGAAACACCGACAGUGUCACAGCAUCGAAGGAUGUUGGAAAUCGAAAACAGCUGGAUUCCAGGCAGCUUGUCCAAACCUUCUCCUGAAGGAGGAACCCGUUCUCCAAAGUUCUCAAAGAUGAUCCUUCCCACCCUCCCUUCCACAAAUAUUUGGAGCACGCACGCUUUGUCAGGCACUGCGCUGGUCCUGGGGCAGUAACGGAGACAGAUAUGGGCCUCGUCCUCACCGAGCUGACAGUCUAGCACUUGAAAGUCUCUGCAAACAAUUUCUGUUGAAUACCUCCCGUAACAGGAUGCUCGCCACCUUACAGGACGGCCUCUUUUUUUUUUUUUUUUUUUUUUUUUUUCCGGUCAGUUUUUCCUUAUUUAAACUGUGAUGCUUGUUCUGACCUCUGGGGCUAUACAAAACAAGUCUAACCCCAUUUCCUAUGUCAGUGCCCUUAGAACGUGGAAAAAUAAACAUGGUACGCUCAGAAAACA